GCCUAGGAAGGAAAGGAGUUGUUGUUUUGUAAAGGAUUGAGGUUUGGAAGAUUAAUCGGACACGGUCAGCAGGGAGAGCACUUGUGUUUUUAUGAGAAUUAUGCCGAGAUAGGUAACAGAUGAGGAUGAAAUUUGGGCUUGACUGAAGUAAUGGGGGCUGUCUGUGAAGCCCUGUGGCAGUACAGCCCAGGUAAUUUGCUGAGCCUAAUGGGUGUCAGGGUCAGUCUAAGUGAAAGCAAAGAGAGGCUUGGAUGAAGGGUGCAAAGGAAUAGUAAAGAAAGCAUGUGUGAGACCCAGAACAAAAUAAUGGGUAGUAGAGUGAGGUAUUGAGGAUAGGAGAGUAUAUGGGUUUGGCACCACGGGGUGGAUAGGCAAAACAAUUUGGUUGAUAAGGCUAAGAUUCUGAACUAACUCGUAAGCCUUGUCCAGUUUUAGGACAGGUAAAAUAGGGGAAUGGUAAGGAGAGUUCAUAGGCUUUAAAAGGCCAUGCUGUAGCAGGCGAGUGAUAACAGGCUUUAAUCAUUUUAAAGAGUGCUGUGGGAUGGGAUCUUGGCAUUGAGCGGGGUAAGGGGGAUUAGGUUUUAAUGAGAUAGUAAGGGGUGCAUGAUCGGUCGCCAAGGAGGGAGGAGAGGUAUCUUAUACUUGUGGGUUAAGGUGGGGGGAUUCAAGAGGAGAAUACAAAGGAGGCUUUGGAUUGGGAAAAAGGGUGGCAAUGAGAUGCAGCUGUAGUCCAGGAAUAGUCAGGGAAGCAGAUACUUUAGUUAAAGUGUCUCAUCCUAAUAAGGGAACUGGGCAGGUGGGGAUAACUAAAAAGGAGUGCUUAAAAGAGUAUUGUCUAAGUUGGCACCAGAGUUGGGGAGUUUUAAGAGGUUUAGAAGCCUGGCCGUCAAUACCCACAACAGUUAUGGAGGCAAGGGAAACAGGCCCUUGAAAAGAAGGUAAUGUGGAGUGGGUAGCCUCCGUAUUGAUUAAGAAGGGGACGGACUUACCCUCCACUCUGAGAGUUACCCGAAGCUCGGCAUCUGUAAUUGUCUACAGGGCUUCCAAGGCGAUCGGGCAGCGUCAGUCUUCAGCCGCUAAGCUGAGAAGAUCUGGGAAGGAGUCAGAGAGCCUUGGGCCAGAGUUCCAGGGGCUUUGGAAGUGGCUACCAGGUUGUAGACAAGAUGUAGGCCAGAGUUGGAGGAUCCAUUUCCAAGAUGAUGUGUCGCCACGAAGUUCCCUGGAGGCCUCGCUUCCUCACCUCUUGAGCUCUCCAGUUUGUUUGAGUGUCACCAUGAUAUGUCAGAGGCUUUCUCCAGAGAGAGGGUGAGGAGGAAUCCCAAAGCGUGUUUAUCGGGUAGCCUCAGCCAUCUAAUGCCAUGCUGCUAUAGUUUGGAUAUUUGUUCCCCAAACCUCAUGUUGAAAUUUAAUUCCCAAUGUUGGAGGCGGGGCCUAAUGGGAGGUGUUUGAGUCACAGGGGUGGAUCUCCCAUGAAUAGAUUA
rnacentral:lncRNA from 1 species